GGAAUCGCUAGUAAUCGCGGAUCAGAAUGCCGCGGUGAAUACGUUCCCGGGUCUUGUACACACCGCCCGUCACACCAUGGGAGUCGGAAAUGCCCGAAGUCUGUGACCCAACCUGAGAGGGAGGGAGCAGCCGAAGGCAGGUCUGAUGACUGGGGUGAAGUCGUAACAAGGUACC
rnacentral:rRNA from 1 species